rnacentral:rRNA from 1 species
GUUUGAUCAUGGCUCAGAUUGAACGCUGGCGGCAGGCUUAACACAUGCAAGUCGAGCGGUAACAGAUCUAGCUUGCUAGAUGCUGACGAGCGGCGGACGGGUGAGUAAUGCAUAGGAAACUGCCCAGUAGUGGGGGAUAGCCCGGGGAAACCCGGAUUAAUACCGCGUACGCCCUUCGGGGGAAAGCAGGGGAUCUUCGGACCUUGCGCUACUGGAUGAGCCUAAGUCGGAUUAGCUAGUUGGUGGGGUAAAGGCCUACCAAGGCGACGAUCCGUAGCUGGUCUGAGAGGAUGAUCAGCCACACUGGGACUGAGACACGGCCCAGACUCCUACGGGAGGCAGCAGUGGGGAAUAUUGGACAAUGGGCGAAAGCCUGAUCCAGCAAUGCCGCGUGUGUGAUGAAGGCCUUAGGGUUGUAAAGCACUUUCGCCGAUGACGAUGAUGACGGUAGUCGGAUAAGAAGCCCCGGCUAACUCCGUGCCAGCAGCCGCGGUAAUACGGAGGGGGCGAGCGUUGUUCGGAAUUACUGGGCGUAAAGCGCACGUAGGCGGAUCAGAAAGUAUAGGGUGAAAUCCCAGGGCUCAACCCUGGAACUGCCUUAUAAACUCCUGGUCUUGAGUUCGAGAGAGGUGAGUGGAAUUCCAAGUGUAGAGGUGAAAUUCGUAGAU